rnacentral:rRNA from 1 species
CUACCCUUGACAUGUAUGGAACCUGGCUGAGAGGUCAGGGUGCCCGAAAGGGAGCCAUAACACAGGUGCUGCAUGGCUGUCGUCAGCUCGUGUCGUGAGAUGUUGGGUUAAGUCCCGCAACGAGCGCAACCCUUGUCCCUAGUUGCUACGCAAGAGCACUCUAGGGAGACUGCCGGUGACAAACCGGAGGAAGGUGGGGAUGACGUCAAGUCCUCAUGGCCCUUAUGGGUAGGGCUUCACACGUCAUACAAUGGUCGGAACAGAGAGUCGCCAACCCGCGAGGGGGAGCCAAUCCCAGAAAACCGAUCGUAGUCCGGAUCGCACUCUGCAACUCGAGUGCGUGAAGCUGGAAUCGCUAGUAAUCGCGGAUCAGCAUGCCGCGGUGAAUACGUUCCC